rnacentral:rRNA from 1 species
GAUGAACGCUGGCGGCGUGCCUAAUACAUGCAAGUCGAGCGAACAGACGAGGAGCUUGCUCCUCUGACGUUAGCCGCGGACGGGUGAGUAACACGUGGAUAACCUACCUAUAAGACUGGGAUAACUUCGGGAAACCGGAGCUAAUACCGGAUAAUAUAUUGAACCGCAUGGUUCAAUAGUGAAAGACGGUUUUGCUGUCACUUAUAGAUGGAUCCGCGCCGCAUUAGCUAGUUGGUAAGGUAACGGCUUACCAAGGCAACGAGGCGUAGCCGACGUGGGAGGGUGAUCGGCCAGAGUGGAAGUAAGGCACGGUCCAGACUGCGACGGGGGGCAGCAGUAGGCGAGCGGCCGCAAUGGGGGAAAGCGUGACGUAGGAACGAGGCGGGAGUGAUGAAGGUCUGCGGAGCGUAAAGCUCUGUGGUUAGGAAAGAACAAAUGUGAAAGUAAAUAUGUACGUCUGGACGGUACCGAAGCAGAAAGCCACGGUUAACUCCGU